rnacentral:tRNA from 1 species
CUCUAAUGUGACAGAUUUAUGUGUUAAAUUUAAGAUUUAAAAAAGAAUAAUUUCCUUUAGAA